rnacentral:rRNA from 1 species
GAUCAUGGCUCAGAUUGAACGCUGGCGGCAGGCUUAACACAUGCAAGUCGAGCGGAGCGAGGGUGCUUGCACCUUAGCUUAGCGGCGGACGGGUGAGUAAUGCUUAGGAAUCUGCCUAUUAGUGGGGGACAACAUUCCGAAAGGAAUGCUAAUACCGCAUACGCCCUACGGGGGAAAGCAGGGGAUCUUCGGACCUUGCGCUAAUAGAUGAGCCUAAGUCGGAUUAGCUAGUUGGUGGGGUAAAGGCCUACCAAGGCGACGAUCUGUAGCGGGUCUGAGAGGAUGAUCCGCCACACUGGGACUGAGACACGGCCCAGACUCCUACGGGAGGCAGCAGUGGGGAAUAUUGGACAAUGGGCGCAAGCCUGAUCCAGCCAUGCCGCGUGUGUGAAGAAGGCCUUUUUGGUUGUAAAGCACUUUAAGCGAGGAGGAGGUUACUUAGAUUAAUACUCUAGGAUAGUGGACGUUACUCGCAGAAUAAGCACCGGCUAACUCUGUG